GUGGUUGUGGCUCAGAGCUAGAGCUCUCGCCUACCACAUGUGAAGCCCUGGGUUUGAUCCUCAGCACCACA
rnacentral:tRNA from 1 species